rnacentral:rRNA from 1 species
AAAAUUAGAGUGUUCAAAGCAGGCAGAUCCAAUUCUCUGCCACCGAAUACAUUAGCAUGGGAUAAUGGAAUAGGACCCUGUCCUCCUAUUUUCAGUUGGUUUUGGCAGCGCGAGGACUAGGGUAAUGAUUAAUAGGGAUAGUUGGGGGCAUUAAUAUUUAAUUGUCAGAGGUGAAAUUCUUGGAUUUAUGAAAGAUUAACUUCUGCGAAAGCAUCUGCCAAGGAUGUUUUCAUUAAUCAAGAACGAAAGUUAGGGGAUCGAAGACGAUCAGAUACCGUCGUAGUCUUAACCAUAAACGAUGCCGACCAGCGAUUAGGAGACGUUGAAUACAAAACACCACCAUCGGUGCGGUCGUUCUUGGCGUCGGUUUCGGCCGGCGCGGAGCGGCUAGCCCGGCCC